rnacentral:ncRNA from 1 species
AGGGUAGGCUGCUCGCGUUAAGUGAUUACAGAUGGAACGUUGCUGUAAUACGAAAACAAUGUUGCGGUGAGUAGCCGCGUUCACUGC